AUACGGAGGACGCGAGCGUUAUCCGGAUUCAUUGGGUUUAAAGGGUGCGCAGGCGGCCGUGCAAGUCAGCGGUGAAAGCCCGGGGCUCAACCCCGGAAGUGCCGUUGAUACUGCAUGGCUGGAAUGCGGUCGAGGCGGGCGGAAAGGGGCGUGUAGCGGGGAAAUGCGUAGAUAUUCCACAGAACGCCGAUGGCGGAGGCAGCUCGCCAGGCCUGCAUUGACGCUCGGGCACGAAAGCGUGGGGAUCGAACAGGAUUAGAUCCCCUGGUAGUCCACGCCGUAAACGAUGGGCGCUCGUCGUCGGCGGCAGACAGUCGGCGGCCAAGCGAAAGCGAUAAGCGCCCCACCUGGGGAGUACGGUCGCAAGGCUGAAACUCAAAUGAAUUGACGGGG
rnacentral:rRNA from 1 species